rnacentral:rRNA from 1 species
AAACCAACAGGAUUGCCUCAGUAGCGGCGAGUGAAGCGGCAAGAGCUCAGAUUUGAAAUCGUGCUUUGCGGCACGAGUUGUAGAUUGCAGGUUGGAGUCUGUGUGGAAGGCGGUGUCCAAGUCCCUUGGAACAGGGCGCCCAGGAGGGUGAGAGCCCCGUGGGAUGCCGGCGGAAGCAGUGAGGCCCUUCUGACGAGUCGAGUUGUUUGGGAAUGCAGCUCCAAGCGGGUGGUAAAUUCCAUCUAAGGCUAAAUACUGGCGAGAGACCGAUAGCGAACAAGUACUGUGAAGGAAAGAUGAAAAGCACUUUGAAAAGAGAGUGAAACAGCACGUGAAAUUGUUGAAAGGGAAGGGUAUUGCGCCCGACAUGGGGAUUGCGCACCGCUGCCUCUCGUGGGCGCGCUCUGGGCUUUCCCUGGGCCAGCAUCGGUUCUUGCUGCAGGAGAAGGGGUUCUGGAACGUGGCUCUUCGGAGUGUUAUAGCCAGGG